GACGAACGCUGGCGGCGUGCUUAACACAUGCAAGUUGAACGGAAAGGCCCUGCUUUUGUGGGGUGCUCGAGUGGCGAACGGGUGAGUAACACGUGAGUAACCUGCCCUUGACUUUGGGAUAACUUCAGGAAACUGGGGCUAAUACCGGAUAGGAGCUCCUGCUGCAUGGUGGGGGUUGGAAAGUUUCGGCGGUUGGGGAUGGACUCGCGGCUUAUCAGCUUGUUGGUGGGGUAGUGGCUUACCAAGGCUUUGACGGGUAGCCGGCCUGAGAGGGUGACCGGCCACAUUGGGACUGAGAUACGGCCCAGACUCCUACGGGAGGCAGCAGUGGGGAAUAUUGCACAAUGGGCGGAAGCCUGAUGCAGCAACGCCGCGUGCGGGAUGACAGCCUUCGGGUUGUAAACCGCUUUCGCCUGUGACGAAGCGUGAGUGACGGUAAUGGGUAAAGAAGCACCGGCUAACUACGUG
rnacentral:rRNA from 1 species